ensembl:lncRNA
CACUUUGCCCAGGUCUGGUCUAGAGUGUGGGGUUGAGCUUGGAAGAGUGUGUCUGAAGUGUGUCUAGAGUGUGGGGGUGAACUUGGAGGAGUGUGUCUGGAGUGUGGAGGUGAACUUGGAGGAGUGUGUCUGGAGUGUGUCUAGAGUGUGUCUGGAGUGUGUCUAGAGUGUGGGGGUGAACUUGGAGGAGUGUGUUUGGAGUGUGUCUAGAGUGUGGGGAUGAACUUGGACGAGUGUGUCUGAAGUGUGGGGGUGAACUUGGAGGAGUGUGUCUGGAGUGUGUCUGGAGUGUGUCUAGAGUGUGGGGGUCAACUUGGAGGAGUGUGUCUGAAGUGUGUCUAAGAACGUGGGGGUGAACUUGGACGAGUGUGUCUGAAGUGUGGGGGUGAACUUGGACGAGUGUGUCUGGAGUGUGUCUAGAGUGUGGAGGUGAACUUGGAGGAGUGUGUCUAGAGUGUGUCUAGAGUGUGAGGGUGAACUUGGACGAGCGUGUCUGGAGUGUGGGGGUGAACUUGGAGGAGUGUGUCUAGAGUGUGUCUAGAGUGUGAGGGUGAACUUGGACGAGCGUGUCUGGAGUGUGGGGGUGAACUUGGAGGAGUGUGUCUGGAGUGUGUCUAGAGUGUGGGGGUGAACUUGGAGGAGUGUGUCUGAAGUGUGUCUAAGAACGUGGGGGUGAACUUGGACAAGUGUGUCUGAAGUGUGGGGGUGAACUUGGACGAGUGUGUCUGGAGUGUGGAGGUGAACUUGGAGGAGUGUGUCUGGAGUGUGGAGGUGAACUUGGGGGAGUGUGCUGCUCGAGAUAAGAGAGAUAGGUGGAACCCUCCAGAGAGUCCCCCCGGGGGGAGUGUGUAUGUUCAUG